rnacentral:rRNA from 1 species
AGUGAACGCUGGCGGUAGGCCUAACACAUGCAAGUCGAACGGCAGCACAGUAAGAGCUUGCUCUUACGGGUGGCGAGUGGCGGACGGGUGAGGAAUACAUCGGAAUCUACUUUUUCGUGGGGGAUAACGUAGGGAAACUUACGCUAAUACCGCAUACGACCUACGGGUGAAAGCAGGGGAUCUUCGGACCUUGCGCGAUUGAAUGAGCCGAUGUCGGAUUAGCUAGUUGGCGGGGUAAAGGCCCACCAAGGCGACGAUCCGUAGCUGGUCUGAGAGGAUGAUCAGCCACACUGGAACUGAGACACGGUCCAGACUCCUACGGGAGGCAGCAGCGGGGAAUAUUGGACAAUGGGCGCAAGCCUGAUCCAGCCAUACCGCGUGGGUGAAGAAGGCCUUCGGGUUGUAAAGCCCUUUUGUUGGGAAAGAAAAGCAGCAGGUUAAUACCCCGCUGUUCUGACGGUACCCAAAGAAUAAGCAUCGGCUAACUUCGUG